CGCUAAUGGUUUAACUUUUCACCGGUUCCUGCUCGGAGGCAGAACCUCCAAACAUCUGAGAUAACAAACAGUCGUCGGCUCGCGGCUGUAAGACGACCAAAUAUAACCUUCCACAUUAUCCCGAUGUCGAUGAGAGUCUGCUCCCUGCAUUUUCAUUCUGGAAAACCAGCAAAUUAAAUGUACAGCUCCCACCCAGACUGAGCCCCAUCUCUCAACCUGGGCCACACUAAGAUAAAUGUCACAUCGACUGCACGCUAUGAGAGAAGGGAAGGAGAAAACGGUGGAGGACUGACAGUACACCUGCGAUGGAUGACACAGUUAUGGAUGACCUUCUUCCAGCAGUGGAGACACCAGCACCAGUAGACGAUGGAGCUGACCAGAGACCGCUGACAGAAUGUGACUUCUGUCAUCGUCGGCAGGAUGAAAUCAAGCGGCUGCUGGAAGAGAACAGGGCCCUGAAACGGGAGCUCGGUCAGAGGAAAAUGGGUGAACAUUUCCUGAAGGAUGACAUCAACAAAGUGAAGUACUACACUGGACUUCCACACCUCGAAGUUGUCAUGGGUGUUCUAGCCUGUGUUGCAAAAAUGAGUGAUGCUAAAACCCACACUGAAAUAAAUGUGUCUGAAAUACAGCCAUAAGUGUCUGU